rnacentral:lncRNA from 1 species
CAGUGCUAAUGUGAAAGUUUUAAUUGGGAAAUCCUGUGCAUGUUAAAUUAAUCUUAAGUACUUUUAUCUAGAAUGCCUGCUUCCUUUCCAUGGCACUUUGUUUUUUUAACCACCUCACAUUCUUUUACAUCACAUUAAAAAACUUGAAAUAGGCCGACAAUGCUUUUUACAUUAGACUUGGUUGAAGGCGAUUUGCAAAGCUGGUUUCUGAAGCCUCUGAAAUGCUCAACUAGAGGGGUUCCUACAUGCAGUGUGAGCUGAACGGUGCCAGUGCUAUUGUGUAUUGGCAGACAGUUUCUAUCUGUGGAGAGAUUGCAGGGCAAAGGUUUCAUCCUAUCCACAGCUUAUGUUUCAUGGAUAAGUGUGUUAUGCAUUAGGAAAUUCUGAGAACAACUGGGAUUUGCAGUUUGAAAGAAAAGUGGUUGGUAACUCAGCUAAACAUUUAGGCUGAGAUUUUCAAAGUGGCCCUGGGGAUUUUAGAGACUAGAAUCUCAGGCUGCUGAUAAAAUCCUCAGCCCUUAGGCCUAUUUUCUUUUCUUUCUAGUGCUUGUACUAUAGUUUUUAAUUUGACCAUAUCACACACACAGAUGUCUUGGUAUCUGAUAGAAGAGGGCAGGAAAGGAAAAAGUUGCCGCUCUGCCAAGAUAUUAAUUAUAUUCCAAUUAUUACCUUAUAUGCACAGUGCAGGUUUUGUCUGCUUACUUUUCUAGUUGCCGUUGCUUUUAAAGUCUUGAUCUUCCUCAGGGGCACUGUGUGUACCAUUUGGCUGUCCUUUUGUCCUCUUUCCAGAGAACAUUUUUUUUUAGAGAGAGUACUUUGGACAUAGCACUGUUGUGAAUACCUUUUCCAUAUUUACCAGGCUGGCUGAACUCAAACAGAAGAGUUCUUUCACUUGUACUACAUUGCCUAGUGCUGAGAUUCCUGAAAGGGAGUAGUCUGCAAAGUGGUUAAAGAGGUAUAUAUUGGAGGGACCAUAUGCCAAUGACUGACAUCAGUACGGAAGUUUCUACGUGGCUUGUUACUGUGCUCCCAGGUAUGGAACUCAACUCUACUGGAUAUGUGACAAAGCAGUGUUUUAUUAGGAUCAAAGGAAGGGUGAAUUCGUUGGAUUCAUAUGUUGCUCCUCAGUGAAGAAGAAAGUAAACGUUUCCAAGGGGAUAUUUUGACUGAGUUAGAGGUAAGUAAAAAUUAAGUAACUGUCCCAAAUUCACAGAGAACUUUGUAUUUCCCCAGGAAGGAGGUGUUUCAUCAUAAUAAUCCAGUCUCUUGAUGCAUAAAGUUAGAGCGAUUAGAUACACUACGCUAAGUACAAAACUAUAAUAGCCUCUGUGAUGCUCACUGAACUAUUAUGGCUGGUAUACUGCAGCAGCAACUUAAAUAUUAUCAGAGAAAGGAUUUUUUGUACAACUUGUCACAGCUAAAAUAUUAAAGUUCUUGGUUUUUACAUAAAAACUAAUUUUAAAAAUUUACUCAUCAUUCCUGUGCAUUUCUUUUUUAAGCAUAUGUUUCAUUAAAUUCAUGAGUGAUGAUUACCACUCAGUCAAAAUGAAGCUUUUCAUAAUGAAAUGCAUGGAAUUGUAUUUUUAACACCCAUAUUGCUUGAUUUGGUAUCUGACAUGAGGCACAUUUAAAAAUACCUAUAUAGAAUGCAAUAUAUUUAGCACAAAUGUUGUCAUUAGUGUUAUAGACUGUAAUAGCCCUAAUAACUGGUAUUUUAGAUUAGCAGAAAAAAAUAUAAUAGCAACUGGGUUAUAACAGUUAACAAUUUUGAUAAACUGUCUGCUUUAGGUAAAAAUCUGGUAAUACUACCAUUCAAAGUACUGUUGAGUAUUAAGUGUAGCCACAUAUGCAUCCCUUUAGGAGUCUUCAGUAGUACAACAAUACACUAUGGAAUAAUAAUGAAAAAAUAAUGUCAUUUCAAAAAAUGAUGUUGAUAAUAUUCAUUCAUUACUGUUCAAACUUUUCUGGGUAUUAGAGAAGUGAAUUAACUAUAAGUGCUUGUUUCAAACCAGAUUUCACACUGGAAAUAAGAAAAGACAUUUGCCUUCCAGGUACUUACCGAUUCCAUUAGACAUGAUGGAUUUUUUGUAUUAUAGAGAUUCUUAGAAGAUGAAAAAUACUGAUUGCCUCCCUUCUCUAAUACAGCAAUAGUUCAUGUCUUGGAACUAGUUUUAUUGUCAAAGUGAAUAAUAUUUUAAUAUGUUUAGAGAUGGCCUCAUUCUUCUUGAUGGAAAAAUGAAAUGACUUUUGACAUUAGAGUGUUUUGUUAUCUGUUACUUCAGUAGCAUUAAUAUAAAAAAAAAAAAAAAAAUUGAUGGUGUGUUUCAGGUGUGAUUUCUGGAAAUAAAAUGCGAAAGAAAAAAUGUCCUUAACA